CUGGUCCUAUAGGGUUUUUAAAAAGUUAGGCCUACCACAUCCUUAAUCAUCUCUAAAAUCGGUUUACAUUUAUAGCAAAAGCUCAAUCUUUAUAAGCAAUGUAAAGGGUUCCCACUUAUUUUAAUAAAAGAGAAAAUAUAUAACAAGACAUUCAAGUUUAAUCAGAGACAGAGUUGUCGCUGUAGCUGUAAGUAAUAUUCGUGCGUGCAGGACCCGGCGGCUGCAGUCUUUGCUCGAGCUGCAGCUUCCUCAGCAUCAGCAUCUCCAUCGACUCGCAUCUUCUGUGGAACUAGAGUACCGUGACGUGCGAAUAUAUCGGCUUGAAGCUGUUUAAAGAAGGAAACUUGAUCUCUAUACAGAAGAAGCAAUGAAGUCUAAUCCCUCACUAGCAGCUUGUUUUUUGUUAUUAGCAUGUCUGUCGAGUAUGGUGGGUGGGAUCACUGCAACAGAUCCUUACCAGAAACCCAGUUUCUUGGAUUUUAACUCUUGGUUCUGGAACACCCCUCGAGGGCCACAGAUGUACUCCUGCAUUACUUACAUUGAGAAGAACCUCCGGGUUGACUGUGAAUUCCCAGAGACCCACAAGAUCCCUGGGCCAUUCUGCGAGUUCAAACAGGAUGGGCGACUCAUGGGAUCCACCUACCCAAACACUCCGGUCCACAUGAUCCCACCUAUUGAGACCCGACGCCGAGCCAAUGUGACCCUGGUGUCACCUAACAUUUGUCGCCUCACUUGGAUGCCCAUGUCCGAUGACCGUGCAUAUACCUACACCUGCAGGGUUUAUCAGGGCAGCACCUGGAAGGAGAAUAGCAUGGCAUUCCACCAAAGAAAUCUUCUGGUGUGCUCUGCAUUAAGCAUAUUCUUUCACACUGGACCAUGGAUGAUUGCGGUUGUGAUAUCACUUCCUGUUUCCCUUGGGCUUCUGUCAGCAUGACCAGAUCAACAUCAAACAGGCUAAAACUCAAAGCCAUUCUCACAUUUAACUGCCUUUCACAUUUUUUAUUAUUUUUUCAUCUUACAUGGCUAUGUUGACUUCCAUGUUAUUGUUUUUCUUAAAGUUUCUGUGGAGAUCAUCAUUGUCACAUGUUCAGGAUUCAGUCAAAACAAAAAACAAACUAGACAUGAUGCAUCUGACCCACUCAAGUAUUUCCAAAAUGCUGUUCAAUAUUAAACAUGAAAGAACAUUUGUAUACAAUGCAAAUUAGGAUGGUUAGCAUGUUCUUAUCAUCUAAAGACAUCCAGCUAACAGGUGUUUGAAGGUAGACUUAAAGUGAAAUACUACAGUUGUACCACACUACUGUGCAAACGUUUGAGGUCAGUAAGAGUUUUGCAAAGAAAUUAAUACAUUUAUUCAUCAAGGAUGCAUUAAAUUGAUUAAAAGUGAUGGUAAAGACAUUUAAAAUGUUAUGAAGGAUUUGCUCCUUAAAGAAUCUUGAAAAACAUUUAGUAGAGUUUUCAAAUAAAGUAAGCACAAGUGUUUUCGAUAUUGAUAAUAAAAUGUGUUUCUCUAGCAUCAAAUCAGAACAUCACAAUGAUUUCUAAAGGAUAUUGUGACACUAAAGUCUGGACAGCUUUGCCAUCACAGAAAUUAUUAUUAUUUUAUAUAUUCAAGUUGAAAAUGGCUAUUUUAAAUUAAAAACUAUUUUAAAAAUAGAACUGUUUUAUUGAAUUUUGAACCAAAUAAAUGCAGCCUUGGUAAGCAUAAGAGAUUUAUUUUAAAAGCAUUCAAAAAAAAUCUUACUGACUCUGAAUUUUUGGACUGUAAUGUAUGUUGAUUUAAACAGCAGAUAUUAUAGCUGUUUAACAAUUAUUUUCUUGAAUUUACAGUAAUAUGUGACCCUGGACCACGAAACCAGUCUUAAGUGUCAAUUUUUCAAAAUUGAUAUUUAAACAACAUCUGAAAGCUGAAUAAAUAAGCUUUCCAUUGAUGUAUGGUUUAUUAGGAUCUGACAAUAUUUGGCCGAGAUACAACUAUUCUGAAUAUCUGGAGUCUGAGGGUGCAAAAAAAAAAUCUAAAUAUUGAGAAAAUCACCGUUGAAGUUGUCCAAAUGAAGUUCUUAGCUAUGUAUGUUACUAAUAAUAAAAAAAAAAAGUUUUGAUAUAUUUACAGUAGGAAAUUUACAAAAUAUCUUCAUGGAACAUGAUCUACUUAAUAUCCUAAUGAUUUCUGGUAUAAAAGAAAAAUCGAUAAUUUUGAUCCUUACAAUGUUUUUUGGGAUAUUGCUGAAAACACACCCCAGUGAUUUAAGACUGGUUUUGUGGUACAGGGUCACAUAUUAGUAUAACUGGACGCAGCAUGUUUGUCAUUUGCAUUGAAUUCAGAUGAAGGACUGCAAAAAAAGUAUAUGCAGAAGAUGAUCAGACAUCCCAAAUAUUUGUCACCUAAAAUAUUCUCUGUUAAAUAUAUGUUACUGGGACCUUAAUACUGUAUCAUUAAUGUGCUUCCUUCAAAUCAAGUUAUAUAGUAGUUCAAAAAGAUAUUAUACUUUUUAUUGCUGACAUUUUUGUAAUAUUUAUAGAAAUAACUGAGUGAAAUCAUUGUAAUCUGUAAUCUCAUUUAUUGGAUGGCUGGUUGAUCGAUCCUUGCAAUUUGUCCAGUGCAAAAUGCAUCAUACAAGUUUAUCAUUGUCUUAGCGCUUCUGUUUAUCACUUGAAUAAGGACAGAUCUGUCUGAAGGACAUCACCACUGCUGACAUAUUAUAUUCCAGCACUCACACAUGAUGCAACUAAAUAUUCUGUGGACAACAAUUCAAGGACUUUUUGUUCAGGUACGUUUAGGGGGAAAAUGAUACAGGCCUGGAACAGAACACAAGUGCAUAAGAAUGAGUCUAUUAAGGUUAUGUGAUGAUUAAGUAUUCAAAAAUACUUUUACAUUCUGUUUAUAUGUGUCUUUCAUUGCAAUCGCAUGCACGGUGCAGCUGCUGUAUGCUCAUGCUUAUUUGCACUGUGGGCUUCCACACGUUUAGCUGCUUUUCACCCAGGCUUCCUUGAACUAACCUAACCUUAAGUGCCUAAGAUUGGCUUUAAGGUAUAAUCUGAGCUUUAGAAAUGUAGUGCUUUGUCUGUUUCAUUUUAAUGACUCACAAAUACUGCAUAGCAAUAUAUUCAAGCGUCAGCACACACAUUUCACAUUUAUAUUUGUGAUGAAAUCUUCCCUUCUUUCUUUCUUUGCAUUGCUUUAUCUUAUUUUUUGAAGGAUCUAUACUGAGAAAUGUCACUGAAAACAAUAAAGGAAUGGAGAGUGUAA